GGGUAAUAUCUAGAAAAAUGAACUGUUACGUUGACAUCGUAAAGGUCAGAGGUUCGAUCCCUCUAUCACUCACCA
rnacentral:tRNA from 1 species